UUGCAAUACUACUGAAAACAUGUACUAUGCACUAGAAUUGUUUCAGAUUUUUUUCAAAAUAUAAAAUUUUGAACCGAAAAUUGGUUAUGUUUAGCAAAAUAGCCAAUAUCUCAAAAUCUUGCAACCCAAAUUACCUCAGAAUUUCCCAGAUACUACUGGGCACACAUAGUAUUUACUGUAAUUUUUUGGAAUUAUUUGAAACUUAUCAAAUGUUAGACUUUAGCAAAAUUGCCAUGGUUCGAACUAUAAUAAUAUAGUAACUAGAUCAUCGUAGGCACGCGUUGCCGCGCCCGUCCAUUUUGGCAGUAUAAUAUUAGUGAUGAUGAAUUCAUAUACAACAAUAAUUUUUUGAUCAUGCGAUAUACAUAUCACAUUAAAUUCAAUGGUAGUAUUUCAAUCAUGUGAUAUAAUUAUCAUACCCAUGAAUCAUGUCUUUUGUCCUGUGUUUUAGCACCUCAUAUUCAUCCGAUUGUUUUGUACUUUUGUGUCUAUUUAUUUUUUUCGCGAGCAUGUUUGCUAGUGAUGAAAAAAAAUAUGUUGAUUAAUAUUUUCUGUACAAAUAUGUUAGAUAGUAAGACGGUUGGUAGGUUUUGAUCUUUUUUAUAAGAAGUUUCUAAACCAUGGGAGGGACAGAAAGCGAGAGAUAAGGCAUAAUAUAUGGAAACUAAAAUACUUUAUGGGUAAAUACAACAUCGGUGCAGUAUAUCAUGAUGCCGCAGGUUGCCACACACAUCUAUUUUGACAAUAAAAUAAUGAGUGGAACAUAAGCAGUAUUGUGAAUAAUUCUGAAGCAAUAAUAUUGGAAAAACUUGACACUAAGAUGUUCUCAACUUCACGGAGCACUUCAAAUUACCAAGUGGGCAGAAGUUUCUAAAUAUAUUGAUGUCUCAAUUUUAAGAAAGAAGACAACUACAUCUCUUAGAAGUUUGAUCUAAAAUCUACGUGCUAUAUAAGAGCAACAACCAAUGUACGCCAUGAUUAAAAGAAGUAUAAUCUCUUCAAGGAUGUAGGAUGACUCAUUACUUAAACAUACAUCAGGUGAAACAAUUUUAUCAAAUAGAAUAUACAUACUGGCGAAACCUGUGCCUCAUGAGUGUUCACAGGUGAAUCUGAUAAAUGCAUAAUCAGACAGUUAUUUUGGCGGACAAACGCAUGAAGUAUAUGAACAUAUAGAUCAGCUUGGAUAAGAUGCCUAAAUGGAUGGAUGGUCUUUGAAAGGAACUUGCAUUAUCCAAUAAUAAAUAAUAUUUGACAAGUACGGAGUUUCAUACUUAGAUUUCCCUAAAACUAAUAUACUAUCCAAGAAUGGCACAACUGAAUACAUAACACUUUUGUUUUGAACCGAUAAAUAGAAUCGAUAUUUUUAGCUAUUUUCGAGGAGACAAUAUGCUAAAACUUCUUCAAAAGCCGAACAAAACAGUAAUUUUGAUUGUCCAAUUGAACGAUAAAAAUAUACACAACAAUACUAAGAGGGAGUUCCUAAAGCUGGUAUAUAUGUAUCUUAUAUAGCUGAACGCAACAAUCAGUGUGCUACAACCUGCUGAGACACUGGAGCACUGAAAAUUUCUAUCAUAUAAGGCAAAUUCUAGAAUGUUCACUAAUGGAAGGCUAGAUAGCUUUAACUGGGACAAGUAAAAUUUGUCUCCAAGUGGUAAUGAUGAAACCAACGCAUGUGUUUGAGAAUAUCAGACCAAACAUUCAAAUUUUAUUUGCUUUCAAAACUAAGCAUGUACCUUGUCAAGGCAUAUUUCAUGAAAGUUGAGCCUUUUUCUCAGCAUCUCAUUGGUAUUUCAGCAGCAAAAAAAUGAACAGAUAAAAUUGCAAAGAUGGAACAUGAAAAGAAAAUCUUAUUGGCACACAGAGAAAGUUUUACCACAACAAGAACAAAGUAUAUAUGGAAAUUUACACGAUUACAAUAAAUAAUGAUAUAAGAGGGGUAGCAGAAUUACAAUAAAUAAUGAUAUAAAUUUGCAAAGCAUGCAUUUUAUCUGAUAAAAUUAAGCAUAACCAUCAAGGAGUGUGUUAGGCUAUUAGCAUAACAAUAUGCAGUUCUUGAUCCCUGUUUUUGUUGCAUUGCCUGUAAAUAGGAUCAGAAAAAUACAUCAUUGUAGUGGCCACAAAAAAUUUGCAGUGUCAUCUCAAGGAAAAAGAAUCAACAUUAAGGAUACAUGCAUAUAUGAAGGGGCAUAAGAUAUAACAUCAGUUGGUGCACAUUAAAAAUUAUUGGACCCAAAAAAAAUGUCGUCUAGCAUCAGAUCUCAGAUGUAAAAAAAGAAACACCAUGCUAUUUAGUACUUUACCACCUAUCUCGCAUGAAAGGAUCUUGUCAGAUGUAAAGCAUCCAUUCUUGAACAACAUUGUACAGUAUAUGCAGUUUAGAAUUCAUAUGGAAUUUUAAAUUUGGUAAAUUUGAAUAAGCAGAUGAAAAGCGAGUUAUGCACUUGUAAUACCAAGUCCAAAUUUGAAUGGCCCAUCAAAUAUACAGUUUCAGAUUGAACUAUACUGUUUUGAGACACUUCCCUGAAUAUUACUUGUAUAGUACAUCGAUCAUUCAUUUUCACUUUAUUUCAGUAGAAAUUUGGUGCUGCCAUUCUACUGACUAUAAUUGUUGUGCGUCGUUUCUUUUCAAUUGAUUCUUCCUAGAUGCCCUCUCCCUGCUUACUGUAAUAUCCAUUGGCACAAGUAAAUAAACGAUACGCAAAAAAUCAACAGUAACAUCAGUGAUUGCAAAACAAGUGAGAGAAGAGAGCAUGGGAGAGGGAGGCCAAGAUCGUUGAGAGAAAGUUACCUGAACUUGCGGUUUUUUUAACACACAGGGAUAGGGUACAGUAGCGAAUCGGGCCAAGGUGAAGGUGCAGGCGGCAGAGGUGUUGCACUACGUCGCUGCUUCCUAGGGACCCCCACUCCAUGGUAGCACCAUCACUUACACGUACAACACUAAAGGUGAAUGGGGGAGUGCCGGCCACAAUAGGGAUGGAGGAACUCGGCCACAACGCCCAUCCGCGUCACUGCAAAGGAGGAAUGCCAGUCUGAUAGAUGAGGAGGGCGUGGUGCCAGGUUCCUCCGUCGUUGUCAACGUUCCAAUCGCCUUUGACGUCGUGGCAGAGCCCCAGGUAUGUCGCCGCCAGCAUCGCUAGGUUCUGGAGGCAACAAGGAAGGGAAGGGCAUGAGGCGAAGGACAAUCUCGGGUAGAUAGGGCUUGCCUGGUACAAGGUGCCAGUUGAAGAGAAAGCAGAGGAACGGAGAUGUCGUGACGACUCGGGUACUCAUCGCGGCGGCGACCGGAUCUAGGGUAGACGCCGUCGAGAGGUACUCACGAGUCACGAGAGAAGGAGGAAUCGUGCAGCGUCGCCUGCUUCGCCUUCUCUAAAAGGCCGAGGUUGGCCCACUUAAACAGAGAACGCCAAUUUUGUUAUGGGAGCGGCGGCCCAUUCCCAUUCGCGGAAACUAUUGCGCUCAUAGGUUGAUCCAACAGCCAAAAACUGAUACGACUGUAGAUCCGACGACCAAAAACACUGAUGGUCUUAGAGGGCUGGAAGAGUGCUCGGUUGUAAUGUCUCUAAAUGGUAGCAGCCUCGUGCGUGCUCUCUGGGACGAUGGAAAGCAGCAACGGCCUCGUGCGAGCGAGCCAGCGAACAAGUGGUGUGGGGGCGUUUGGCUGGGCUGGGCCUUAAGUGUAGUAGAAAAAAAAGAAUUGGCAGCGCUGGAGGGCAGGCUCGAGCCUGCUAAAGCCUGCCCUGUAGAUUCGCCACUGUUGGUUCCUUGUUUGGCAGCCUAUGUUGGUAGAUGUGAGAGCUCCAAAUAUGGAAGCAGCCAGCGUGCGGAAGAUUAAAGGAUGCAUUGCUACAGUGAAAGCAUUCAGUGGGCGACCAACGACCAGAAUGUCAUUGCUUUUAUCAUGGCAUCCAACACUUGCAGAUGUGACACAAAAGGGGGUUCUGAAGCUGAUGAACUUGGAUGGCCUGGCAGUCUACCAUACCAACGACCAUCUCCAAGUACACAAACUUGAAAGCUUUCUAAGAUUCGUACACACCUUCAGGUAAAGAUCAGAAAGCCGACAGUGUUUCUAUUAUGUUUCAGGAAAAAUUUGGAUCUUAUUGGCCGGUUAUUGCAACCAUCUGUUUGAAUGAGUAUAAAAACAAUGCUAUGAGGACAAAGAGGAGAUAAAAGGAGUAUUGGAAAGCUUAAAACCAGCCCCCCGAAACCACUCUGCCUGGAGAAAGAAGACAAUAUCUGGCACGAUCUGUUUCAUCUACUACAGCUCAGAGUGGAUAAGAGAUGAUGCAACCAAAGGCACACUUCAAUACUCUUUUACUUUAGUCUUCCCUUUUUCCUGUGUGUCCAAGAGAUUGUUACCAGCAUUUGUUUCCAAACAUGUAUUACCAAGUAAAUACUAAUUUUUAUUUCAGUCCUUCCCUUGCCCCUCCA